rnacentral:rRNA from 1 species
UACGUAGGGGGCAAGCGUUGUCCGGAUUUAUUGGGCGUAAAGCGCGCGUAGGCGGCGCGGUAUGUCGUGCGUGAAAUCUCCCGGCUUAACUGGGAGGGGCCGUGCGAAACUGCCGGGCUUGAGGUCGGAAGGGGAAAGUGGAAUUCCGGGUGUAGUGGUGGAAUACGUAGAUAUCCGGAGGAACACCAGCGGCGAAGGCGGCUUUCUGGUCCGGAUACUGACGCUGAGGUGCGAAAGCGUGGGGAGCGAUCCGG